rnacentral:tRNA from 2 species
GGGGAUAUGGUGUAAUGGUAGACGCAGGGGAUUCAAAAUCCCCCGCCCUUAGUGGCGUGUCAGUUCGAGUCUGACUAUCCCCA